CGGCUCAGUAACACGUAGUCAAUCUGCCCUAUGGACGUGGAUAACCUCGGGAAACUGAGAAUAAUCCGCGAUAGAUCAUAAUGCCUGGAACGGUUUAUGGUCCAAAUGAUUCGUCGCCAUAGGAUGGGACUGCGGCCUAUCAGCUUGUUGGUGAGGUAAUGGCCCACCAAGGCUAUUACAGGUACGGGCUCUGAGAGGAGAAGCCCGGAGAUGGGUACUGAGACACGGACCCAGGCCCUAUGGGGCGCAGCAGGCGAGAAACCUUUGCAAUGUGCGCAAGCACGACAAGGUUAAUCCGAGUGUUUCCUGCUAAAGGAAUCUUUUGUUAGUUCUAAAACCACUGAUGAAUAAGGGGUGGGCAAGUUCUGGUGUCAGCCGCCGCGGUAAAACCAGCACCUCAAGUGGUCAGGAGGAUUAUUGGGCCUAAAGCAUCCGUAGCCGGUUCUGUAAGUUUUCGGUUAAAUCCACUAGCUCAACUAAUGGGCUGCCGGAAAUACUGCAGAACUAGGGAGUGGGAGAGGUAGACGGUACUCGGGAGGAAGGGGUAAAAUCCUUUGAUCUCUUGAUGACCACCUGUGGCGAAGGCGGUCUACCAGAACACGUUCGACGGUGAGGGAUGAAAGCUGGGGGAGCAAACCGGAUUAGAUACCCGGGUAGUCCCAGCUGUAAACGAUGCAGACUCGGUGAUGCACUGGCUUUUGGCCAGUGCAGUGCCGCAGGGAAGCCGUUAAGUUUGCCGCCUGGGAAGUACGUACGCAAGUAUGAAACUUAAAGGAAUUGGCGGGGGAGCACCACAAGGGGUGAAGCCUGCGGUUCAAUUGGAGUCAACGCCGGGAAGGGCGAAUUCGCGGCCGCUAAAUUCAAUUCGCCCUA
rnacentral:rRNA from 1 species